rnacentral:tRNA from 1 species
UUGCAGUUUUCAAGGUUCUGGCUGGAACAACUUCCAGCAGUCGCUCGCUUUGGGGCGGUGCUGAAUUGUUCUUGAUUAAGGCUCGGUUAACCUAACGUCAGUGGAGGUAAGCGGACUCGAACCGCUGACAUCUGCCUUGCAAAGGCAGCGCUCUACCAACUGAGCUAUACCCCCAACAAGCCACAGCACGUCUCGCUUUCAGUUCUCUCCCUUUCGGGUUGCUCCUGAAAACGAAAAGGCUUGAGGCUUUUAGUG